rnacentral:rRNA from 1 species
AACGUAGGGGACAAGCGUUAUCCGGAUUUACUGGGCGUAAAGCGCCCGUAGGCGGCUUUUUAAGUUGGACGUGAAAGCUCCCGGCUUAACUGGGGAGAGGCCGUUCAAAAACUGAGAGGCUAGAGUGAGGCAGAGGAGCGCGGAAUUCCCGGUGUAGUGGUGGAAUGCGUAGAGAUCGGGAGGAACACCAGUGGCGAAGGCGAGUCCCUGGACAACACCUGACACUGAGGCACGAAAGCUAGGGGAGCAAACAGG